AUGAACGCUAGCUACAGGCUUAACACAUGCAAGUCGAGGGGCAGCAUGGUCUUAGCUUGCUAAGGCCGAUGGCGACCGGCGCACGGGUGAGUAACACGUAUCCAACCUGCCGUCUACUCUUGGAGAGCCUUCUGAAAGGAAGAUUAAUACAAGAUGGCAUCAUGAGUCCGCAUGUUCACAUGAUUAAAGGUAUUCCGGUAGACGAUGGGGAUGCGUUCCAUUAGAUAGUAGGCGGGGUAACGGCCCACCUAGUCUUCGAUGGAUAGGGGUUCUGAGAGGAAGGUCCCCCACAUUGGAACUGAGACACGGUCCAAACUCCUACGGGAGGCAGCAGUGAGGAAUAUUGGUCAAUGGGCGAGAGCCUGAACCAGCCAAGUAGCGUGAAGGAUGACUGCCCUAUGGGUUGUAAACUUCUUUUAUAAAGGAAUAAAGUCGGGUAUGCAUACCCGUUUGCAUGUACUUUAUGAAUAAGGAUCGGCUAACUCCGUGCCAGCAGCCGCGGUAAUACGGAGGAUCCGAGCGUUAUCCGGAUUUAUUGGGUUUAAAGGGAGCGUAGAUGGAUGUUUAAGUCAGUUGUGAAAGUUUGCGGCUCAACCGUAAAAUUGCAGUUGAUACUGGAUAUCUUGAGUGCAGUUGAGGCAGGCGGAAUUCGUGGUGUAGCGGUGAAAUGCUUAGAUAUCACGAAGAACUCCGAUUGCGAAGGCAGCCUGCUAAGCUGCAACUGACAUUGAGGCUCGAAAGUGUGGGUAUCAAACAGGAUUAGAUACCCUGGUAGUCCACACGGUAAACGAUGAAUACUCGCUGUUUGCGAUAUACAGCAAGCGGCCAAGCGAAAGCGUUAAGUAUUCCACCUGGGGAGUACGCCGGCAACGGUGAAACUCAAAGGAAUUGACGGGGGCCCGCACAAGCGGAGGAACAUGUGGUUUAAUUCGAUGAUACGCGAGGAACCUUACCCGGGCUUAAAUUGCAGAUGAAUUACGGUGAAAGCCGUAAGCCGCAAGGCAUCUGUGAAGGUGCUGCAUGGUUGUCGUCAGCUCGUGCCGUGAGGUGUCGGCUUAAGUGCCAUAACGAGCGCAACCCUUGUUGUCAGUUACUAACAGGUUCCGCUGAGGACUCUGACAAGACUGCCAUCGUAAGAUGUGAGGAAGGUGGGGAUGACGUCAAAUCAGCACGGCCCUUACGUCCGGGGCUACACACGUGUUACAAUGGGGGGUACAGAGGGCCGCUACCACGCGAGUGGAUGCCAAUCCCAAAAACCUCUCUCAGUUCGGACUGGAGUCUGCAACCCGACUCCACGAAGCUGGAUUCGCUAGUAAUCGCGCAUCAGCCACGGCGCGGUGAAUACGUUCCCGGGCCUUGUACACACCGCCCGUCAAGCCAUGGGAGCCGGGGGUACCUGAAGUGCGUAACCGCGAGGAGCGCCCUAGGGUAAAACUGGUGACUGGGGCU
rnacentral:rRNA from 1 species